rnacentral:rRNA from 1 species
GAAUUCAACUCCUACGGGAGGCAGCAGUGGGGAAUAUUGCACAAUGGGCGGAAGCCUGAUGCAGCGACGCCGCGUGGGGGAUGACGGCCUUCGGGUUGUAAACUCCUUUCACCAUCGACGAAGGGUUUCUGACGGUAGAUGGAGAAGAAGCACCGGCUAACUACGUGCCAGCAGCCGCGGUAAUACGUAGGGUGCGAGCGUUGUCCGGAAUUACUGGGCGUAAAGAGCUCGUAGGUGGUUUGUCGCGUCGUCUGUGAAAUUCCGGGGCUUAACUCCGGGCGUGCAGGCGAUACGGGCAUAACUUGAGUACUGUAGGGGAGACUGGAAUUCCUGGUGUAGCGGUGAAAUGCGCAGAUAUCAGGAGGAACACCGGUGGCGAAGGCGGGUCUCUGGGCAGUAACUGACGCUGAGGAGCGAAAGCAUGGGGAGCGAACAGGAUUAGAAACCCUAGUAGUCCAGGCGUU